rnacentral:rRNA from 1 species
CCCUUAGAUGUUCUGGGCUGCACGCGCGCUACACUGAUACUUUCAGCGAGUCCACCACCUUGCCUGAGAGGGUGGGGUAACCUCUGGAAAGUGUAUCGUGAUGGGGAUCGAUUAUUGUAAUUAUUAAUCUUCAACGAGGAAUUCCUAGUAAGCAUGUGUCAUCAGCCCGUGCUGAUUACGUCCCUGCCCUUUGUACACACCGCCCGUCGCACCUACCGAUUGGAUGGUCCGGUGAAGCCUCGGGAUUGUGGUUCUUGCCGCUUUAUUGUGGCGUGACCGCGAGAACUUGUCUAAACCUUAUCAUCUAGAGGAAGGUGAAGUCGUAACA